AUUGAACGCUGGCGGCAUGCCUUACACAUGCAAGUCGAACGGCAGCACGGGAGCAAUCCUGGUGGCGAGUGGCGAACGGGUGAGGUAAUAUAUCGGAACGUGCCCAGUCGUGGGGAUAACGUAGCGAAAGCUACGCUAAUACCGCAUACGAUCUAUGGAUGAAAGCGGGGGAUCGCAAGACCUCGCGCGAUUGGAGCGGCCGAUAUCAGAUUAGGUAGUUGGUGAGGUAAAGGCUCACCAAGCCGACGAUCUGUAGCUGGUCUGAGAGGACGACCAGCCACACUGGGACUGAGACACGGCCCAGAC
rnacentral:rRNA from 1 species